AAGCAGGCAAACACAGUCAUCACCAUCUUCGGCUUCACUUCCACGAGGUCAUCAGGCAGCGCGUAUAUCCGGGCGCCGAUCUUCCGAGCAACUGAAAUGGCAUAUCUUGAAAAGAAAAGACAGACAUCUUGGGAACCCAUAUUUUUGAUGUCCAUACCUUUCCUGUGGACGUAAGCCUCAAGGAAAGCUCUUGUCAUCCAGUGCUCUAGGAGUGAAACUGAACACGGGAAAGGGCUGGAGAGACGGCUCAGCAGUUAAGAGCACUGGCUGAUCUUCUAGAGGACCUGAGCUCAGUUUCCAACACCCAUGAGGUGGCUCAGAACCAACUGAGUUCCAGUUUCAGGAGAUCAGAAGCCCACUUCUGACCUCCACAGGCACUAGACAUGGACAUGGUCUGACAGAACUUUCAGCGUGUAUCUGCAACAGAAACGAUGAACUUGAGACAAGGGGAAGGAAUUUGUUCUCACACAUAGCACACAUCAACCCUUACGGAACAGAACAGCCAAGCAAGUGAUGUUUCCACCUGGAACCCCAGCCCGUGAGACUGAAGCUGGAGGACGGCAAGUUCCCGUCUCCAAAAGUUCCCAACUUUAGCCUGGCAUUUGCACUUACUUACAUUCAAAGGUUAUAAAACUCACUAAUCAAAGCCAAGCACUACCGAAUAGUGUUUUUAAAAUUUAAAACAACUCCUUAACAAAGCCAUUUAAAAGGCACUGAUGUUAAGUGAUUAGAUUGCUAGAGAUCAGCCCACAUAAUUUUGGAAAUAUAUAACCAAUAGCAAAUCUCCUACAGGAUUAAUUUAUUUCACAUUGUAUGUUAGGUUCAUGAGUCUCCAGAAAUAGCUAGGUAUUUGGUUCAGAUGGUUUGCUGGAGGAAGCUGUGUUGCUGUAAAGACACAAGCCUUUACCUUCUCAUCAACUGCCACACCAGAGCCAGGGUAAGUGUUGCAUUCCCUUCAUUUAAGUCCUGUCCGGCGAUACCAACCAAAGAGAAUUUGGCCUCGUUCUUCCCGAGCUCAACUGCGUAGUUGCAGUUUUCAAUCUGGAAGCACGUAGAGCUAACUGUUAGCAUAAAGACAGAUCUCAAAAACAUUCCCAGGCGGUGCCAACUAGUCCAACCGCCUGUGACAGCAAGGACAUUGUAUGCGACUGAAUGUUAUUUCACAGUAACCAAGUGAAACAGUGACACCCACUUCCUGGGGACAGGUUUGACCUAGAUUGAGAAGAUGGCUGAACCCUGAAGACCUGACCACAGCUUACACAGUUUAUUAAUGAAAAGUCCAUGGCUAAAAAUGUUUAUCUUGUGCACUCUUUGACAUUCGGGUCUCUGUCCACUUGAUCGGCAAAGGCUUUGUCUGGGAUGUGGCUGUUCUGUAGCAGUUCCCUCCUAAAUGAUAUAUUCUGCCUAGAAGGGAAGUUUCCUAAGACAUGGGGCAUUCUACAGGGAAAUGAAACAUUCCGAGCGUGGGGGUGCUCAAAUUCAGGGAGUCCCUGAAAAUGACCAGACUCACUGGGCUCCUCCCUCUCCAAGCUUAUUCAAUCAAUAAGGACUGUUGAGAGAUGCUCUCAGAGUAACGGAGCUGCUCAGACCAGCCGAGCCGCCUGAAGAGAGACCCCAACCUGCUAAGCACCCUGCAGGCUGUGCAGUGAACUCUGUUUCGGGCUUCGUGAGCUGUCACGGUGCUCGGGUGGGCCUUGGUAAGCUGUGUCUGAGUCCUUCCUGCUCCUGUAAGGAACCCCUCGCCCACACUUGUAUUCUUGUAAAUGACGCCAAUAAAACCCAUUGGUUCACCAA